UACACACCAUAUCUCACAGCAUUUGUGCGUUAGGUGUACCUACACGCCGUAUCUCACAGCAUUUGUGCGUUAGGUGUACCUACACGCCGUAUCUCGCAGCAUUUUUGUGUUUGAGAUGCUCUCCCCACAGAACUAGCUGCUUCCUGCCGCUGGCAGCUUGCUCGGCCUCUCCCCCCCCAUCGCAGCAAACUUCUGUUUCCUAUCAUUGUGCGCCCGCUGGCCGCCGCAGCACAGCGGCCUGCGUUGCUUUUUUGUAGUGAGGCAGCCUUCACAAGCCCCCGAGAUGAGCACAGCGCUACCUGGUUUUGUGUCCUGUGCAGGAGCAGAACAAGCUGUCCGUGCUCCAAAACGUGAGCAUAAAGGAGCAACACCUGUGCCCUGCUCAGAAUAGAUGAAGGAGAGAACGAGAAGAGUGAAUAAAUCCCAGUUUUCUCACCUUUGGGGGGAAGAUGUGUGUGUAUUGGUGCCACUCAAGAUACGACACUCUCUCAGUAAAUUAUCACCCUUAAGGACAGCAGUUCUGUGAAAGUGCCUACUUAUUUUUUUUCCAUCUUUUUAAAUGUAUACCGUAAAAUAUGUUGCCUGUUUCUGAGUGAAAAGGAAUACACGUUUCGUUCAGAUCUGUUGAACAAUGUGGGAAAGCAUAAGGGCCUCAUAAACACCUGUGCUGGUGAAAGCAAGAAGUACCAAGCUCCCCAAAAGCUGGUACGUUGUUCGCUAACCUCAGACGUGUAUUGAAUCGCUUCAGAUACCUUCCUUUUCAGACUGAUGGCAUGGCCUAAGGUUUUUGGUGAUACUGCGUGGUACUAAAUUGGAAGGAAUGUUUUUCACAUACGUGAAUUUGCAACCACGUUAAGACUGAGUAGCACUGCCGAGCUGUGUGAGCUCUACUGAGCCGCAGAUCAGCAGAGGUGUUUGGUAAUUAGACCUGGUGAGCCACCAUUAGCACCCGGAUUCAGAGAUGAAGAGAUGUAGAUACUUCAGUCUGUUCAUAUUGAGGUACCUGCUGGGGUUCUUGACCAGGAUUCGGGCAUCCUUGGCGUUUCUCUGCCGUGUUCAAACACCUACCAACACAAAGUUCAUCCUCCAGUGACAUUUUUGAUUUCAAACAUCCAAAGAGUAAAACGAGAUGCAUGGGACUGUGCACAUCUAGAAGCAUCAAGACAUGUGGCAACGCUUUUUAUGCCAUCUUUUAUCCAGGUAGUUCAGAAUGAUUUACAAGCAUUAAUUAAUAGCACUGCUAGGAGUAGAGGAUUUCAUCUGUGCCUUCGCUGUUCUCACACUUACCACUGAAUCGAUGCUGUUUACACAGAAGCAGCAUUAUAGGUAGAUACAGCUGCAGUUGCCUUUAGAUAUUCAAAGGCACUAACCUCUGUAAGUGACAUUUAAGGAACAUAUCUAACAAUGCAAACUGGAGUCUUGUAAAGCAGUAAUGAAUUUCAGAUGUCAUCCGACAGAUGAAAAUGCCAUAUAUGAAGCAACUGUAAAU
rnacentral:lncRNA from 1 species